rnacentral:rRNA from 1 species
AGUGGGGGAUAACGUAGCGAAAGUUACGCUAAUACCGCAUAUGCCCUGAGGGGGAAAGGGGGGGAUCGCAAGACCUCUCGCUUUCGGAGUGGCCGAUAUCGGAUUAGCUAGUAGGUGAGGUAAAGGCUCACCUAGGCGACGAUCCGUAGCUGGUCUGAGAGGACGACCAGCCACACUGGGACUGAGACACGGCCCAGACUCCUACGGGAGGCAGCAGUGGGGAAUUUUGGACAAUGGGCGCAAGCCUGAUCCAGCCAUGCCGCGUGAGUGAAGAAGGCCUUCGGGUUGUAAAGCUCUUUCAGCUGGAAAGAAAACGUAUCUAUUAAUACUAGGUGCGGAUGACGGUACCAGCAGAAGAAGCACCGGCUAACUACGUGCCAGCAGCCGCGGUAAUACGUAGGGUGCGAGCGUUAAUCGGAAUUACUGGGCGUAAAGCGUGCGCAGGCGGCUUUUUAAGCCAGAUGUGAAAUCCCCGGGCUUAACCUGGGAACUGCAUUUGGAACUGGAAGGCUAGAGUGUAGAAGAGGGGGGUAGAAUUCCA